GGUUGGUCCGAGUGCAGUGGUGUUUACAACUAAUUCAUCACAACCAGUUGCAGAUUCCUUUGUUCCUUCUCCACUCCCACUGCUCCACUUGGCCAGCCUUUA
rnacentral:Y_RNA from 1 species